rnacentral:rRNA from 1 species
GAUGAACGCUGGCGGCGUGCCUAAUACAUGCAAGUCGAGCGAACGGACGAGAAGCUUGCUUUUCUGAUGUUAGCGGCGGACGGGUGAGUAACACGUGGAUAACCUACCUAUAAGACUGGGAUAACUUCGGGAAACCGGAGCUAAUACCGGAUAAUAUUUUGAACCGCAUGGUUCAAAAGUGAAAGACGGUCUUGCUGUCACUUAUAGAUGGAUCCGCGCUGCAUUAGCUAGUUGGUAAGGUAACGGCUUACCAAGGCAACGAUGCAUAGCCGACCUGAGGGGGUGAUCGGCCACACUGGAACUGAGACACGGUCCAGACUCCUACGGGAGGCAGCAGUAGGGAAUCUUCCGCAAUGGGCGAAAGCCUGACGGAGCAACGCCGCGUGAGUGAUGAAGGUCUUCGGAUCGUAAAACUCUGUUAUUAGGGAAGAACAUAUGUGUAAGUAACUGUGCACGUCUUGACGGUACCUAAUCAGAAAGCCACGGCUAACUACGUG